CACCGCCUGGGGAGUACGACCGCAAGGUUAAAACUCAAAUGAAUUGACGGGGACCCGCACAAGUAGUGGAGCAUGUGGUUUAAUUCGAAGAUACGCGCAGAACCUUACCAACACUUGACAUGUUCGUCGCGACUUUAAGAGAUUAAAGUUUUCGGUUCGGCCGGACGAAACACAGGUGCUGCAUGGCUGUCGUCAGCUCGUGUCGUGAGAUGUUGGGUUAAGUCCCGCAACGAGCGCAACCCUCACUUUUAGUUGCCAUCAUUAAGUUGGGCACUCUGAAAGAACUGCCAGUGAUAAGCUGGAGGAAGGUGGGGAUGACGUCAAGUCCUCAUGGCCCUUACGUGUUGGGCUACACACGUGCUACAAUGGUAUUUACAACAGGAAGCAAGACGGCGACGUUAAGCAAAUCCUUAAAAAAUACCUCAGUUCGGAUUGCACUCUGCAACUCGAGUGCAUGAAGCUGGAAUUACUAGUAAUCGUGGAUCAGCGUGCCACGGUGAAUGCGUUCCCGGGUCUUGUACACACCGCCCGUCACACCAUGGGAGUUGGUUCUACCUUAAGGCAAGGUUUUAAACCCUUGACCACGGUAUAGUCAGCGACUGGGGUGAAGUCGUAACAAGGUAGCCGUAGGGGAACCUGCGGCUGGAUUACCUCCUUUCUAAGGAUGAAUGAAAUUUUAAUUUCAUUCUAAAAAAUAUACAGGUUAAUGUUGACCGUCCUCAUUUCUCUUCUUAAGUUAGUGUUUCUCUUGCAUGGGGGCCGGUAGCUCAGUUGGUUAGAGCACACCCUUGAUAAGGGUGGGGUCGAAAGUUCGAGUCUUUCUCGGCCCACCAAUUUAAAGAUCAUGGGGGAUUAGCUCAGCUGGGAGAGCGCCUGAUUUGCAUUCAGGAGGUCAGCGGUUCGAUCCCGCUAUCCUCCACCAAAACACUUAGUUAUAAAAAUUGUGAAUAAAAUAAUAAUUAAUAUCAAUAUCUAUAUCCGAACAUUAGUAAUGUUAUUAGCUAAUGUUCAAAUAAAAAUUUGAUUCAACACAGAAUUUUUUUCUG
rnacentral:sRNA from 1 species